rnacentral:rRNA from 1 species
AUUGAACGCUGGCGGCAGGCCUAACACAUGCAAGUCGAACGAGUGGCGGACGGGUGAGUAAAGUCUGGGAAACUGCCCGAUGGAGGGGGAUAACUACUGGAAACGGGAGCGAAAACCGCAUACGCUCGGAUGUGCGCAGAUGGGAUUAGCUAGUAGGUGGGGUAACGGCCCACCUAGGCGACGAUCCCUAGCUGGUCUGAGAGGAUGACCAGCCACACUGGAACGGAGACACGGUCCAGACUCCGACGUGAGGCAGCAGUGGGGAAUAUUGCACAAUGGGCGCAAGCCUGAUGCAGCCAUGCCGCGUGUAUGAAGAAGGCCUUCGGGUUGUAAAGUACUUUCAGCGAGGAGGCGUUACUCGCAGAAGAAGCACCGGCUAACUCCGUGCCAGCAGCCGCGGUAAUAC